GCAGCCAGCAGACUCCCCACUGCUCUCCUCUCCCUGAUCGAUCUUGCCGCCGGCACACUCCCUCCGCCGCCUGCCCCCUCCCUCCCUCGCCGGACAUCAUCCACCGCUCCUCUAAUUCCUCACCGCAGCGCCGACCCGCCUCCUGGAUGAAUACACAACGGAAGAGGAUCCGCGUGGCUCCUGGUGGUGGCCGCCCGAGCAGCGGCGACAACAAGGGCGGCCAGACCGUGGCUCUCGCCGCCGCGCGCCGGACGCCGGCAGGGGGAUCGAUGGAGGAGGGCCUGGUGGUGGCCUGACCAGGAUGCUGCAGCCGGCGACCACCUCCCCGACCUUCUCCCCACGCGCGCCGGCAACAUCCCUGGACCUGCUGCUCCAGACGCCAUCCACCUCUCCGUCCCGCUGCAGCCUCCAGUCCAGGAACGCUUGGACGGGCCUGACACGGAUAAGAGCAAAGCCGCGGUGGUCUAUUUGGUGUUUGGCUGAACUUUGCUGAGAGCAGCGCCUACGGCCUCGCCAUGCUCGUCCGCCUCCUCGGCCACGUCCUACCUCUCCGCCAUCCAGCUAUACAUAGCAACUAGCCUCACCAUCUGCAGGAGGUGCACGGGGAGCGAAACGGAUUCCUGGAGCAGCGUUGGCAGCGAGUGUUAUG